GUUUCUGAUAGCGGUAAGCAGAGGAUGAUGACUAUAACGACAUGGAUAUGGGUUAGGAGGAUGAGCCACCAGAGCCUGAGAUUGAAGAAGGAGUCGAGGAGGAUUUAGAAAAUAAUAACAAUUAUGAUGUUCCUUUGGAACCUAUUGAAACAGAGGAAAAAGACAACCAGGAUGCAAAAGACAAAGCUUCUCGCAAAACAUCGAAGUAUAUGACCAAAUAUUAUGAAUGCUCCAGUUAUAGUUGAGAUGGAGGGAGAGACUGACUCGCUCGAGAUUGCCAUGAAGCAACUUCGAGAGCGGAAAAUACCCUUCACCAUUAGGCGUUACUUGCCUGAUGGAAGUUUGAGGUCUGGGCCUGGAGCAUGAGGUUUGGGCAGGCUUUAGCUGAUGCUAUUGCUUUGUAGUUUGAGGUCUGGGCCUGGAGCAUGAGUUAUGAAGAUUGGGGAGUUAAUGAGUUGAUUGUGGAAGACUCAUGGAAGAGACAAGUUGGCGGUGAUUGAUUAUUGAUCGAUUAUCGUUCAUCCGUCAAUGGAGGAGGAAUAUGGAUGUCUCACUUUCAUGUUUGGUGUGCCAUGGUGUUGUAUCUUUUAGAUUUGGUUGUUAGAUGUAAAAGAGGGAUACAAAAAGUGUGCUUGCAUAAACAAAGAAUUGAAAUGGCCCCCAU